rnacentral:lncRNA from 1 species
CUGAUAUAUAUGAUCGCAUGGAACUGCUUAGACAAGAACAAAUGCUGAAGGCUCGCUCACUGCAAUCUGCUCCUUUUGAAGGGGACUCUAGGUAUGCUAAAUUAAGAGUCUUCUAUUUAAUGUGAUGUCAUUUAGUUUGAGUAGUGUAUUUUCAGUUUUAGUGAUUACCAAUAUAGUACAGAUUUUUCUUGAACCUAAGGUGAUGAUAAAUAAAUUUGCUAAUACAUAUGGGGAAUAAAUUAAUGUAUUAGGCUAAAGAAUGGAAACGGUCAUUUUCUUUGUAACUAUACGAAUUACUCUGUGUGUACCUGUGCUGUUUGAAUAUAUAGUACCGUAUCUACUGCACUGAGUAGCAAAUUUCUGGCAGACAAUCUGAUUAUCUUGCAUCAAGGAGCACAGUUCAUCAUCCUACCCAAGAUCCUGUUUCCUAUGUUGGGAGAACUAACCAGGAACAUCGCAGUUUGUCAAUGCUAAGUGGUUCAUCAUAUGGUGGACCACAUGCUCCAUCAAUUUUAGGAGCAGCCCCACAGAGAAAUGUGGAUGAUCUUGCGUAUGCUCAAAGUUCUUCAAAUCCUGGCUAUGGAGUGAGCUUGCCUCCCGGUAGGGACUAUGGAACAGGGAAGGGCCUCCAUGGCACAUCAGUUGAUCUAGAUUACCCCAAUAGCAUUUCGGCACGUGAUAGUCAUCCAAGAAUGGAUGUUCGUAAAGAUGAUAAGGGUGCAUAUACUCGGGAGAUUGAAGAGAGGGAGAAAGACCACCAUAGGGAUUAUAUACGUGAGCGAGAAAAGGCUAGAGAAAGGGAGAAGGAACGUCUUCGAGAACGAGAUAG